UCCGCCGCGGGGCGGAGCUGCAGCUCACGGGGCGGGCGGUGCCGCGGGUGGGCCCGGCCAUGGAGCUGAGCGCAACGGCCUCGUACCGGGCGGCGGUGCCUCCUCGGGCUGCGUGCGUGUACAGCAGCUGCUACUGCGAGGAGAACGUGUGGAAGCUCUGCGAGUACAUCAGGAGUCAGGAUCGGCACCUCUGGAGGAUUUCUAUGCUGUUUUCAUAUCCAACGACAGGAGGAUGCACAGGGAUGCGCCCCCUGGCAUUUCAACCCCUGCCUGGCCUGGGAGGACACGGCCCUGCAGCCCUCCAGUAUCACAAUCCUCCGGGGUCAGAUUCCACUCUGGAAACAGAAAUCAGGGCAUGGAGACGAACCUGUUGUCUGGGACUACCAUGUUAUCCUACUUCAUGUUCCGGGUGGAGAGCAGAACUUCAUUUAUGA
rnacentral:lncRNA from 1 species